UGGGGAAUAUUGCACAAUGGGGGAAACCCUGAUGCAGCGACGCCGCGUGAACGAAGAAGGUAUUCGUAUCGUAAAGUUCUGUCCUAUGGGAAGAUAAUGACAGUACCAUAGAAGAAAGCUCCGGCUAAAUACGUGCCAGCAGCCGCGGUAAUACGUAUGGAGCGAGCGUUGUCCGGAAUUAUUGGGCGUAAAGGGUACGCAGGCGGUUUAAUAAGUCGAAUGUUAAAGAUCGGGGCUCAACCCCGCAAAGCAUUGGAAACUGAUAAACUUGAGUAGUGGAGAGGAAAGUGGAAUUACUAGUGUAGUGGUGAAAUACGUAGAUAUUAGGAGGAAUACCAGUAGCGAAGGCGACUUUCUGGACACAAACUGACGCUGAGGUACGAAAGCGUGGGGAGCAAACAGG
rnacentral:rRNA from 1 species